rnacentral:snRNA from 1 species
UAUCUGUUCUUAUCAGUUUAAUAUCUGAUAUGUUCUCGAUGUGAGAACUUUAUAUUAAAUGGAUUUUUGGAACAGGGAGAUGGAAUAGGAGCUUGCUAAAUCAACUCUAUGCAUCAACCUGGUAUUGCAGUACUGCCGGGCAUGGUGC